rnacentral:misc_RNA from 1 species
UAAAUAAAUAAAUAAAUAAAAUGUAAUUGAAAUAAGUUUCAAUUCACACCAACAAAUUGAUAGAGUGAAGAGGUAAAGUUGAUACUAUUUAGUCGUUUGGACGUGGGGAGUUCAACAGUGAGUGGUACUCUCCCUAACUCAAAGUAGUUCAUUGUAAUGAGGAGGGAAGAUGGUGGUCGUUGGUUGCAAAUGAAAACUAAUGGGGUGAAGAUCAUUGUGAUAUAUGUUACUCUCCCUAACUCACAGUGUUUUCACAUUGAUUAAAGAAGGUCAUUAAAAUGUUUUCACAUUUUUUUACAACUUUUGAUCCUCAAAAUUAAGCAUUUAACUAUUUUUUGUUAUUUUAAAAUUUUAUAUUUUAACUAAUUACCUGCAAUGUUAUCGGCUCUUUUA